rnacentral:lncRNA from 1 species
CAAGAUAAACAAAAAGCAUGAAGGAGUACUCAGAUCAAGAUGGGAGGAAAAACCGUCUUGAAACAAGAAAGUGAUAGAAGCAGAAUUUAAGACCUGGAGAGGAGGAUAAAGCAGGAACAGCAGUUAGCCUGUGCUCAGCCUCCUGGUGUCUGCAGCCGUCUCCCCACUGAGGGACGCGUGUGGCCGGUGCACCUCUCCCCUGUCCUCAGCCACUCGG